CCUACGGGUGGCAGCAGUGGGGAAUAUUGCACAAUGGGGGAAACCCUGAUGCAGCGACGUCGCGUGAGCGAUGAAGUAUCUCGGUAUGUAAAGCUCUAUUAGCAGGGAAGAAAAUGACGGUACCUGACUAAGAAGCCCCGGCUAACUACGUGUCAGCAGCCGCGGUAAUACGUGGGGGGCAAGCGUUAUCCGGAUUUACUGGGGGUAAAGGGAGCGUAGGCGGGUGUGCAAGCCAGAUGUGAAAGCCCGGGGCUCAACCCCGGGACUGCAUUUGAAACCGGGUGGCUGGAGUGUGGGAGAGGCAGGCGGAAUGCGUGGGGUAGCGGUGAAAUGCAUAGAUAUUAGGAAGAACACCGAUGGCGAAGGCAGCAUGCUGGACUCUGACUGACGUUGAGGCUCGAAAGCGUGGGGAGCAAACAGGAUUAGAUACCCUUGUAGUC
rnacentral:rRNA from 1 species